rnacentral:rRNA from 1 species
GGGGAAUAUUGCACAUGGGGGAAACCCUGAUGCAGCGACGCCGCGUGAGUGAAGAAGUAUUUCGGUAUGUAAAGCUCUAUCAGCAGGGAAGAAAGAAAUGACGGUACCUGAGUAAGAAGCCCCGGCUAACUAC